AGGAAUUAUAAACAUUCCUCUGUUCAGAAACUUAGCGACUAGCUAGGGUUUACUCCCCAUUCUCAACUUUUUCUCAAUCUUCAUCAUUUUUACAGCUUUGUUCCGCGAUUUGAUUGAAAUUUCUUCUUGAUUUCUUGGUUCAACGUCACGAUUUACGUUAAUAACUCUUCUUCUCUGAUUCUCGUGGUUUCAUGAGUUUUCGAUUUGGUGUUUUUGUUUUGGAAAUUUUAUUUUUUUGUUUUUUGACGUUGUGGUAUUAAGCGAUUGAGUUAUUUCAUGGAGAGGUCGUAUCUUUAAGAUUUUUGGAAAGAAAAUCUCGUGUAUUCACUCCAGAUCCAGUAUGGUUCAAGGAGACUUAGCAUUAACUUGAAAUUUGGUGAAAAUUUUAAAGGAACAUUUGAAGAAAAAAUAUUGUCAAAUUGGUGAUAACUUCAUUAAUGCUAUCUAUUGCAAUAAGAUGGUGAGUUGUGUCUAUGUUCAGGGACUUGAGGUAAUCAAUCAUAACAUUUUAUUCCUUAGCUGUUUGAAACCUAUUAAUGGUUGAGGUGGUCAAUUUUAAGUUUUUGGCAAUUGUGGAUUUGAAGAUCAUUUUUGUGUAGUAUUAUAAAUAUAGUUAUGCUAAAUUGGUGUCUUGGAGUUAGAAAAUUCAAUUGAUAUCCUGUAUUCAGUAGAAGACAAACAUCUUUUGAAGUAGAUAUUCUCACUGGUGAAUUCAGGAUUGAAGUUAAUUUGUGCAGAGACCUCUACUAUUUUUUUCCAACUAGAAAGAGGAAAGGCCAAUUUUCCUGUUAGCAAAAAAGGAACUUGCCAAUAACUUAUGUUCUGUCAAGGCUUUCAAUUCUCCCUAGUAAUUAAAUUACAAACAAUGGGUAAAAGCAAUACCAAGUUCAAAAUUAAAGUAAUUGUUGCACUAAACAAUCUACACCGCCUAUAUAUACACUUUGUAUGCAUAUAUAAGAAGAAACAACACUAUCUCCACUUACUUAGAACAGAGUCCAGAAAUAUUUUUCAAUCCCAUUUUUCAGAGAACAAGCUUUGAAAUUGUUGGAGUGUUGUGAAGCCCCAUUUCCCAACUAAAUUUGUUUGCAAAUUCAACAUGUUUGUACUUGUCCUUAUUGAUAGACCUAUUGGUAUUACAGUAACCAAGCCAUGGCUGGUAUGCAAAUUCCUUGCUUUAUAUCUAUAUAGGAUAACACAUGUUUCACCUUUUUUGGCCUCUGGAUCAAGUAGGGAUAAAUGUGCAUUUGAUAUGGGCAAAUCUUUAAUCGUAGAAAAGGGAUGAAGGUGCCUUUUAUAUGGGAAAAUCUUGGGUAUAUAUUCUCAUCUUAUGAUAACUUAAAUAUUUAAGGUACGUCUUGCUUAGUGAUUGUUGUUUUGCAUGCAUCUAAGUUUAGCAAAGGAAAUAUGAAACUCUCGAGCUAUGUUCCAACUUGAGGUGUAGUAUCGCUAAACAUCAUCUCAGAAAUCUUUUGAGCUGCAACCUUAUAGAAAUUCAAACAAUUGGGAUUGGUGAAGAACUGAAGAUUAUGCUAUUGCUAGUUGAUGAGUCAAUGAUCUCAAGUUUAAAUUCCCAUUAGCUCAUGGAUGCAUGCAGUAAAUUAUUCCCUUCUUUUAUUCUCAUUUAAGCUUUGCAUUUUCAGUUUUAUCAUUACGUGUGGCACAUUUGAGAGGAGGGGGUGGUGCCAGAAGAUGACAGUUGAAUCAACUCAUGAUUUAGAUUUCCUUCUGUUGCUGCUCUUACUCUUUCAUUUGCACGUGUAUGGGAUUUGGAGAUUUCUAUUUACAAGUCGAGAUGCAAGUUUGAAGAUCUUGAACAAGUUUUGACAAUUUUGUCAUCAUUUUGCUAGGGCAGUUUGGCAAAGUAUUUCAUUACUUAUAUACUUAGAGAUGUUAGUUCUUUAGGCAAAUGAGUUGUGUAAACAAUAUCGUGAUUAUAUUUUUUAAAAGAAUUCGACAUGUACGUGUGAUGCUAAUCUUUAGUUUUAAUUAAUACAAUUGAUGAUUU